GUGCUCAUUUUGGCAGCAGAUACACUAAAACUGGAACGAUACAGAGAGGAUUAGCAUGGCCCCUGCACAAGGAUGAUACGCAAAUGUGUGAAACGUUCCUUUUUUUU
ensembl:snRNA U6 U6 spliceosomal RNA